ensembl:lincRNA
AACAAGAAAAUGAAUGAAUGAAUGAGGAGGAAGGGGGGCUUUCUUUCAGAUUAAGAUAGUUGUAGAGAGGACCUGAGGAUUUAUAUACUGACUUGGGAUCCUUUGAUUGGAGGACCAUGAUUAGCAUAUGUGGGCUAGUUCCUCUCGAAAUUAGUUUAAUAUUAAACUUCAAUUAGAUCAGCAUCUAAGGACAACAUUAUUUUUGACAUUUAACAAACAAAUUCAAAUGACGUUGAUAUUUGGUUAGGUUGAUUUUAGGUUGGAAGUUGGAAGUUAACGUUAGGUCGUGGCGUCAACUGAAUUUUCAUUUCCAAACAAAAUGCAUCGUCCUCAAGACGUUGGAUUGCAAUGUCAAUCUGAUGACAUGUUGACGUUCUGUGCCUGCUGGGAUAUUGAUAUCUUAAGAGCCAAAAAAAUAGCAAAAUUAAGACCUGUGGAUCCUCAUGAUAUUUUAAAGUCUGUGUAAUGUAUAGUUUAGACUAGUAGUUUAGCUUCAUAAGAUCUCAAUGCAUCAUUCCAUUGACUUGCACUUUUUAUCAUUCCUCUAUUAUCACAGUUUCAACUAAAACUCUAUAUUAAUGUUCUACUAAAGAAACAAAAAGUCACCUACAUCUUGGGUGGUCUGAGAUUUGAAUAAAUUAAGAUUGAAUUGUCAUUUUUAGCUACAAUACAUUCAUUAUAUUGCUUGCAUGAGCACAAGGACAUUAGUAUCGAACAAUCAUUCAAUUUAUUUUCUAUUAAAAUUGAUUUAGUUUUGCUGGAAAAACUGACAUAAAACAUAGGAUAACUAUUGCUUUUAUUUGUGCUUAAAUUAAAAUAUUCAGCGCAUGCCUGCUUGAUCAUUUUAAUUCAUUCAAAUUUGUAAACAUUGAAUAGUCUGCAUUGUAAUUUACUGCAGCAUGUUUGUGUAUAUUCUCUCCGUCAUGCAGUGUCUUUAAGUUGCUUUUUUAUUUGUGAUCACACUUAACUAAAACAUUGGAUUAAAAAUGUAUAUUUAUUUCACAUGAUUCCAACCUUGAAUUUAUUGUACUUUUAGGUCAGACUUAAAAGACUGUAAAUGGCAAUUUAUUUAUUUAUUUUGCAAAUGCAAAGACAGUCAUUUAUAGUCUGUUUUAUCAUCCACGUAGCAAAGCCAUUAGUAUUUCUUUUGUUUUUGCCAGAAAUCAGCCAUUCAUAUAAUUCAUGACAUUGUGAACAGCACAAUGCACUGUUUGGACAUGCUCACCUUUGCAGAGUGAGGUUUUCAACGUUCACUAGAAAUGUAGCUACUUGGCCAUAUCCAUUAUAUUUUAACCCACACCAGUUACCUUUUUGGAGAGCUCGAUCAAAGUAGGGGAGUCCCUGAAACUUUUAGAAAAUGGUUUGAGCUGACAGUCUGCUGCUGUUUGGGAAUGACAGAAUGGUAAAGAGUUGUCUGGGGAAGCUGUAAUUUUAUACUUGUGCUUUGUAAAUGUUUUCUAUGUGCAGUAUUUGAUAAUGUAAAACUGGUAUUUUUGUGGUUUGUACGCUGCAGAACUGAUUAUUUAAAGUGCACGCCAUUUUGUAAGAAAAGGAUGGGGAAACUUACAAAAAAUAUUUUGACUGAAGCCUGUAUUUGCAUGCCUAUUGACUGCUGGAAGCUGGAGGUCAAUAAAUUUUAUUUGAAUCAUC